UGUUUUGGACCUUUUUCCUCCUUCACAUACCCUACUUUAUAAGUGACAUCCACUCCCUCGUUCUUCUUCCUCAGGUUUCUUUCUCUUCUUCCCACUGCGAUCACCAAGUGAUGGCAAUAGUUGGCAUGAUUGACGUGGGACCUGAUGAGAUAGGAUGACCAAGUUGCCCUCCCCUGACUUGGUCCACCCUCGACUACUCGGUUGGGGGAAGACCAAGUUGUUCUAUUUUGAACCCUUUUCCUCCUUCAGAGAUCCCACUUUAUAUGUGACAUCCAAGCCCUCCUGCUUUUUCCUGUGGUUUCUUUCUCUUCUUCCCACUGCCACCACCAAGUGAUGGCGAUAGUUGGGGUGAUUGAGGUGAGACCUGAUGAGAUAGGAUGAAACUAAUAUCAAGGUGGACGAGGAAGGAAACUCGCAUGGUUGUACAUGUGUGGUGGAAGGUUUGGAAUGAAAUCCUCGCUUGCAAGAGCUCCAAAAAACUAGAUCUAUAUGUACUUCCUAGAUAAAAUGUCUUGUUUUGUAGUCUAGUGGGGGUCAAGGUUUAUCACUUUGCUUGUUGCACGUUUGCAAAAAUAUGAAGGAUUAUUUUCUACACUUUGUGUUUUGGAGCUACUUUCUAUAAGUAGUUAAGCGACAUAAGAUGAGCAG
rnacentral:lncRNA from 1 species